GAUGAACGCUGGCGGCGUGCCUAAUACAUGCAAGUCGAGCGAAUGGAUUGAGAGCUUGCUCUUAUGAAGUUAGCGGCGGACGGGUGAGUAACACGUGGGUAACCUGCCCAUAAGACUGGGAUAACUCCGGGAAACCGGGGCUAAUACCGGAUAACAUUUUGAACCGCAUGGUUCGAAAUUGAAAGGCGGCUUCGGCUGUCACUUAUGGAUGGACCCGCGUCGCAUUAGCUAGUUGGUGAGGUAACGGCUCACCAAGGCAACGAUGCGUAGCCGAGCUGAGAAGGUGCACGGCCACACGGGGACGGAGACACGGCCCAGACUGCUACGGGGGGCAGCAGUAGGUAAUCGUCCGAAAUGGACGAAAGUCUGACGGAGCAACGCCGCGUGAGUGAUGAAGGCUUUCGGGUCGUAAAACUCUGUUGUUAGGGAAGAACAAGUGCUAGUUGAAUAAGCUGGCACCUUGACGGUACCUAACCAGAAAGCCACGGCUAACUACGUGCCAGCAGCCGCAGUAA
rnacentral:rRNA from 1 species